GAUGAACGCUGGCGGCGUGCCUAAUACAUGCAAGUCGAGCGAACAGACGAGGAGCUUGCUCCUCUGACGUUAGCGGCGGACGGGUGAGUAACACGUGGAUAACCUACCUAUAAGACUGGGAUAACUUCGGGAAACCGGAGCUAAUACCGGAUAAUAUAUUGAACCGCAUGGUUCAAUAGUGAAAGACGGUUUUGCUGUCACUUAUAGAUGGAUCCGCGCCGCAUUAGCUAGUUGGUAAGGUAACGGCUUACCAAAGCAACGAUGCGUAGCCGACCUGAGAGGGUGAUCGGCCACACUGGAACUGAGACACGGUCCAGACUCCUACGGGAGGCAGCAGUAGGGAAUCUUCCGCAAUGGGCGAAAGCCUGACGGAGCAACGCCGCGUGAGUGAUGAAGGUCUUCGGAUCGUAAAACUCUGUUAUUAGGGAAGAACAAAUGUGUAAGUAACUAUGCACGUCUUGACGGUACCUAAUCAGAAAGCCACGGCUAACUACGU
rnacentral:rRNA from 1 species